GCGCAUGGGCCAUCGUGUGGCAAUGGGAAAGAGUGUCAGCUGAUGAGAUAUUUCAUGUCACUCAUCGCCAAGGCUUUGAAUAUUCCAACAGCACCCUGCCCCCUCUCCGGGCCCUUUGCUGCUUGAUCACCUGCACCAGAUAGACGUCUGUUUUACUACAAAUGAGCAUUCGAAUUGCUUGCUCAUCCAACCUGUCCCCACAGGCAAUUUAACCGUAAGCUUGUCACUUGCCCGAAAUUUGGAGAGGAUUCGUCAGUUUUGAUUAAAAUACUAGGAUACCUUACUAUAAGGGGAAAGAGUCUCCAGGGUUCCCUCAUACAUUACAAGAAUCAUGAACAUUCAUUCACUUCUUUAGAGAUCAAGCCAACGAUAUGCCACAGUCCUGCGGAAUUCACUGUAAUUCUUUUCAGUGUUCCAACUGUUCUCUGAGGCCUGACUAAUAUUCGUCUCCUUUGGCACUCCCAACUCGAUGAGCUGCACUCUACAUGAAACCAAAAUUGCAAUGCCUUCUAUGAGAAACAAGACAAAAGUGUGCCAAGUCUUCAGCAGAGAGUUGCUCCAGGCCGAUGAUGCCAGAUAGCAUUUCAUACCAAGGAACACCUUCAGCAGCAAAUGGACAGAUUCUUUCAUACCUGAUAAGAGUUUGGUUUGACCAUCAGCAUCAGUAAAGCAAAUGUAUUGGUCCAGGAUGUUGCCAUACUGCCAUCAAUCAGCAUUGAUGAUGUGAAGCUGAAGGUUGUUGAUAGCUUCAUAUAUCUAGGCUGCACAAUCAUCAGUAACAUGUCACUUGGUUCUGAAAUCAGGCACAUUGCAAAUGCUGCAGCUGUAAUGUAUAAGCUUCUCUACCACAGUCGCCAAGACAGAUUAUCUGAUCGUUUCCUUGGUGGUACUAUUAAGAAUGCCAUAUUUACCUUAAAGUCAAAACGGGAAAAGGGACUCCAUGGCACGACAGACCUUGGAGUUUCCACGCAUACACAGACUGGGAGCGGGCUGCACAAGCGCAUUUCAGCAUUUUAAGUUCUUCAGGCUGAGGACAGGUCCAGCAUGCGCAAAAAGUGAAAACCUGGAUCAUGUGACCAUUGGAAUAAAGUGCCCCAGGCAGGGUACAAGGAAAGGUCCCAAAAGGGAAAGGGGUCAAGAAGAGGUCCCAAAAGAGGUCCCAGAUGGACAGGAAGAAGCCAUGUUAAAGUAAAAAGCAGUGAAAGAGGCCCCAAGCAGGAAAAGAGCUGUGGUUAGAUUUUAAGGGAGGUAACUCAGGGGAUGCCCUAGCAAUCAAAGAGGGCAACAGAAGGUUGGUGAUUCUGUGCUGCAGGCCAUUGGGUGAUGGUACCCCUUCAGAGCAGUAAUGUUCUGCCUGGCAAUGCCAAAGAGCUGAAGUUAUGCUUGUGAGUUGGUGCCCCGGGUGCAAAUUUGGGAAUCCAGGGGCAUAGAAUCUCAGGAGAGAAGAUUGAACCCCUGCUAGUGGGCCAUUGUUGAGGCUGUCCGAGUUGGAGCAACUUUUGGAGAGAAUUCCAAGGCGAGAUCUUUGAGGCAAAGACUAGAAUUCCUCUUGAGAGAGUUUCAGCAAGAUUGGUUGACUCACAGUGUUACUGACGUCUGGGUGGGUUGUUGAAAAAUCCAUGGACCCUGACUUGGUUACAUCUGCCAUUUAUUGUGCAAUGUGUGUUUGAUCACAGCUUGCCUUUAAUUCACAUGUACCUCAUACACUGUCACAUUCAGGGUAAGAUUGAUAUUGUAAGUUGUUUUAUCUUCCAUCUUCCAUGGAAUCUUGAGGCUUUAUUCACCUGAACAAUUGUCUACAAUCUCAAGCUUGUUUACUUUAAGUAAAAUUUUAUUGGUCCCUAAUCAGUUCUUAAAAAUUUGGGGAUCUGGUCCAGGAUCAUCAAAAUAGUUAGACCUUGCUAUGUGUAAGCGACUAGCAUGUUUAUCUACCUAAGUACAGUGAUUCAGAAACAACACAUUGGUUGAAAAACUCAUUAGAUAUCCUGAGUAUUAGAUAUCCUAUCCUGAGUAUGUGAUAAAGCAUUAUGUAAGUUAUUACAGUCUAAUUAUAUUCCUCCCUCUGAUUUGCGGAUACAGAUACCUUGCUUGUCCUGCUUUCUACCCUUAAUUAGCACAUUCCUUUAGAUAAUAUCACCACCUUCAACACCUCUUUGUCCUUUGUGACAUCUUUUGGUUGUCUGCACCUAUCACUGGCCCUCUAUCCAGCUCUCUUGUCCCAACCCCUCCCUUAAACCAGCUUAUAUUUCACCCCUUUUCUAUUUUUCCUUAGUCCUGUUGAAGAGUCAUGCAGACUCGAAACGUUAACUCUGCUCCCUUCCACAGAUGCUGCCAGACCUGCUGAGUUUUCCAGUAUUUUUGAAAUAGUAAAAGGUUGUCUUACCAUUAUGCAAUACAUUUCAGUUGAUGCAAGGGCAUUCUGCUUCUCUGCCCUCUGUUUCCCAUGCCCUUGACCUGCAGCCUGUACUUAAAAUUGCUAAUUUUACUAAUCCUCUUUUCUCCUUGCCCAGACCUCAUGUCAAAUCCAUAUACAACUGAAUAAGCACCAGCAGUGGUGAUGUAUGCUGCUCCUCGUGUAUCAAAGUGGUGGAUGACACUAAUUGUUCAUUGUAGAAUUGCAGUUAGAGGAAGAAAAUAAAAACAAAAUGCUGGAAAAACUCAGCAGGUCUGGCAGCAUCUGUGGAGAGAGAAAUAGAGUUAAUGUUUCGAGUCCAUGUGACUUCAGAACU